CAGCAUAGGUGAUUUCCACUAUUCUGUCUUCCAGUUCACUGAUUCAUUCCUCUGUAUCACCUAUUGUUGAUUUCUUCUAGUGCACUUUUAAUUUCAGUUAUUGUAUUCUUUCUUUCCUUUCUUCCUUCCUUCCUUCCUUCUGCCUUUCCUAGGGCUGCUCCUGUGGCAUAUGGAGGUUCCCAGGCUAGGGGUAGAAUUGGACCCGUAGCUGCUGGCCUACACCACAGCCACAGCAACGUGGGAUCUGAGCCGCGUCUGCAACCUACACCACAGCUCACGGCAACACUGGAUCCUGAACCCACUGAGCAAGGCCAGGGACCAAACCUGCAACCUCAUGGUUCCUAGUCGUACUCGUUAACCACUGUGCCACAAUGGGAACCCCCUCAGUUAUUGUAUUCUUGAGCUCCUCCGUUCUUUAUAUUUUCUAACUCUUUCUUGAACUUCUCACUGUGAUCAUCUAUUCUUCUCCUAAAUUCAGAGCAUCUUUAUGAUCAUUCCUUUGAAUUUUUUGUUGGGUAGAUUGUUUAUCUCCGUUUCAGUUCUCCCUCUGAAGUUUUAUCUUGUUCCUUUGUUUGGAACACAUUCCUCUGUGGCCUCAGAGGCCACUUCUCUGUUUUUACUUCUACAUAUUAGGUAGGUUGACAACAGUUCUCAAUAUUGCAGAAGGGGUCUUUUGUAGGAGAUAGCCUAUGAAGCCAGCAGAACAUGCCUCCCUGGUCACCAGAGCUAUAUACUCUAGAGGUAUACCCUAUGUGGGCUGUGUGAGCUCUUCUGUUGUGGCAGGAAUCCACUACUAUGGACAUACUGGGGCGGAAGGGGAGGGGCUGGUUGGCUGCCAGGCCCUGCCUCAUGCAGGAGUGGCUGGCCAGCUGGUGGGUGAGUCUAGGCCUCAUAGAGCCCUUUAUUUUAAAAAACUUAACAUUCCAACCGCCAAUACAAAAGAGAUAUAAGUGGAGCUGCCAUUUAUGUACUCAAUGACCCCAUAUCCUACCCCUGAGCUUGGUUUCCUCACAGGUUCUGAAGAACAGAAUUUUAAAAUCCCCCCUCUGUAUUUCUGAGAACUAAUGGUGUUAAAACUCUGAUAUCAAAGUCAGAUGGAUGCAGGACACAGUGGUUUGGAGCUGGGGUGGUGCCUGCUGGGUGGGGGUGGGUACAUGUCGGCUACGGGACAGACCGGCCUACGCCUAUGGCAGAGUUCACUAGGGCCUGCUGACUGUCACCAUUCAAGCUGGAUAACUGUUUCUUCAGGAGGUGGCUGAGAAGCAGGGAAAGAGCACCGGACGUGGAGUCAGGUGGUGGACCCAUACGCCAGCCCAGCCACAUGGCCUCGGGUAGGUCGUGUCCUCUUUGUGCCUCGCUGUCCUCAACUGUAGGAUGGGCCUGAUAACACCAUUCUCAUCUAGUGACAUCAGGAUCAAACUGAGUCACUUAUGUGUCAAGACUACACCUGUGAAAGCCCUAAAUUAACAUUUUCACUUAUCUCUGGUUGAUUAUUUUCCCUUUCUAAGAGCACAGAGUCUGGAGCUAGACUACGUAGGUUCAAAUCUUGAUGCCACCAUGUGCUGGCUGAGGACCCAGGAUCCAGUUGCCAAGCUUGUUCCCUCCCGUUUAAAAUGGUGACAAAAAGGAAGGGCUUAGCAUAGCACCUGCCACACUGCUCGGCGGCGGCGGGGGGUGGGGGGACGACAAUAACUAAUGGCAAACUUGCUCCCUAGUGCCCUCUUCCAGUGUAGACAUAGCUGAAGAGGGGUGAGUGGCUCCUCUUGACCCUCUAAAGCAUGCAAGUUCAAAAGCUAUAGCUGGAAUUUUUUGGUUCUGUGCUAAAGUGUGAACCAAUCUUUCCUACGCUACACUGGGGUAUGUCUGAUCUGGAGCCAAGCCUAGAGGGCUUCCCUGGUGGGGAGCUGCUGGAAGGCUUAUAUGGGCCCUGGGGUACCAGCCCAUGUGACUUGGUAUUCUGGCAGGCAGUGAUCCUCACCUUGACCUCACGGGAAUCAGCAGCCUGAGAGGCUGAGUCCCCCAAAACCCAGCCCCAUGUUACCCUGUACAGCAGGUCCUCCUUGACCAGCUGCCAUCUCCUCCCUCCUCCAGCCCACGGGCCAUGACCCUUUGCUAGGCACCAGAACCAGCAGUCAGCACUCAAUGUAAAUCAUUCAUUCACCUCCUCCAAAGAUGCUGGCAGUGAUCGCUACCUCUCGGAGCCCCAGCUUUCUCACCGGGAACACGGGUGAUAACAAGAGCACAUCUCUCAAAAGUGGGUGUGAAGAUCAAAUUGGAAAAAAAAUAAUGGCACGCACUUAUUUAGCACUUACUUCCUGACAGGCCCUUUCUCAGUGACACAGAUAAGGGCCAGAGGGGAGGCUCUGACCUCUCCCUGUCAUGUCCCUCCAGCUUCUGGAACACUUCCCUGCCAAUGACCAGAGACCUUCUUUCCCCAUGACUCUGGGUCCUGAAGACUGCAGCCAGUGGAGCAGAAAGAGCACUGGAGUGGGAGCCAGAGUCCAGGUCUGGGUCCUGGGUGCGCCCUUGCUGGGCCUCAGCUUCCUCUACAGCAGAGGUGCUAGAAGAUGAUGGAAACGUAGCACUCUUUUACCUGGUGGUCCUUAUCUUCCCUUCCCAAGCUUUCCCAGGUGACAGCCUUGUCUGAAUCAGGCACCAGAGGGUGGGGAUGUCCCAGCCUCCAGCUCCCUGCAGCGGCAGCCCGGGCUGGCCCUGUGACGGCUGGCUGAUGCGUCUGCCGUCCUCUCCUCCUCUCCUGCCCUCUUCCAGGCUUGGGCUCUCCCCCUGCCGGGUUCCUGCUGCUUCGGUCCCCACUCGUCCAGGACUGCCUGACGCCCUCAUCAAGCAUCAGCCAGGCUUCUAUCCUCCAACCCCACCCCUGGCUGCUUUCCCAGCACUUUCUAAACCUGGGGCUCCACCAACUGACAGCCAAGGUGCCCAGGCUUGAAAAUUGCCUGAGCCAGGGCAGUCCCAGCAGGUGGGGCCAUGCUUCUCUCAUCGCUUUUUCAGGGUGGUAGCACCUUUGGCUGCCCAAGCAGUACCCCAGAUGGUAUAACCACCCCUGGCCGCUCCACCCUCCACCCACAGCUCCUCGAGGAGAGUAAAUGGAUUAAUGUCCAUGAUUAAGAGCAUGGACAUGGGAAGCAAACAGUCAGGGUUCAGCCAAGCAAACAGCCAAGUAUUCUGUAACCUUGGGCAAGUCACUUAAUCCUUUUCUAUGGCUCAGCUUACUCAUCUGUAAAAUGGAUGUAUUAAUAAAGUGUUAGGAGGAUUAGAUGACUUAAUAACACUGAGUGCUUAGAACAGGACCUGAAGCAAAGGAACCACUCCACAAAGAUCAGCUACAAUUGUUCCUAACAUUCUUUUUUUUCCUUUUUCUUUUUACAGCCACAUCUGUGGCAUAGGGAAGCUCCUGGGCCAGGGAUGGAACUGGAGCUGCAGCUGAGGCCCACACCACAGCCACAACCACAGCAAUACAGGAUCCAAGCUGUAUCUGUGACCCACGCCACAGCCUGUGGCAAUGCCAGAUCCCCAACCCACUGAGUGAGGCCAGGGGUCAAACCCACAUCCUCACAGAGACAAUGGCUGGGUCCCCAACCUGUUGGAGCCACAACAAGAACCCUCUAUUCCUAACAUUCUGAUUAGCCCAAGGAAGAACUCAACAGCUGGCAGUGCACAGGUCCAGUCUGGUCCACAGAUGUGAAUUAUCCAGUCCAUAAUGCUGUGAUGGGUUUGAAAGGCCAACAUUAAGGAGAUGUUACACGGAAAUUAGAAUUGUCAGCUUUCCUCUAAAAAAAGACUCAGCAGUGCUGGGCCCACAUUCUCAAGUGGCAACAGCCAACUGGAGCUGAGGAGAGGCUGCCCCCUCUGGACUGGCCACGAGUCUGCAGGACACCGCAGCAACCCCAACCCCCACUUCUGGUUUCCCCCUCACUGUGGCCCAGAUUCGGCUGCCACUUUUCAUCAUGCUGGCGCUCUGUUUCUUCUACGAAGAGAAAGGAGAACUAUGUCUUAUACCCGUGUCUCAGUCAAAAGUGAGAAAAUGAUUUCUGUGAGGCUUAAAAAUAGGCAAAACGAAUCCAUGGUGACAGACAGGACAGCAGUGCCUCUGAGGACAGGACUUACUGGAAGGGGGCAUGAGGGGACUUGCUGGGGGAAUGGAAAUGCUCUGGAAAUAUCCCACAUCCUGAUUCUGCUGCGGGUACACGGGUGUCUACAUUGGUCAAAACCCGUCAAACUGCUUCUGGCCUGUGCAUUUUAUUCUAUACCAGCUACACCUCAAUAAGGAAAAAAAUAAGCAGAAAACUGACAGAUAGGUUAGGAGGGUGUCAUGUUUCAAAGAAAACAGUGACCGACUUCUUUCUUUGUGGGUGUGAAGCAAACACUUGUGGGUUUAAUAUAAAGACAACAGGAAAAGGAGACAGAAUCACCACUGGGGCUGCUGGGAGCCGAGAGGGCUGGCUGGUGAAAUCAAGCGAAUGGCUCUGCUCACAUUUGAGUCUGAGACCUACCCUCCAAGGCCAUGAAAGACCACCCUUCAAAGGACUGUGCAUAAUGUCUAACCCAGUAGCCAUCAGCUGCACGUGGCUGAGAUGAAAAUGAAAUUAAAAUUGGGAGUUCCUAUUGUGGUUCAGCAGGUCAUGAACACAACUAGUGUCCAUGAGGAUGUGGGUUCGAUCCCCGGCUUCGCUCAGUGGGUUAAGGAUCUGGUGUUGCCGUGAGCUGUCAUGUGGGUCGCAGAUGCGGCUCGGAUCCUGUGUUGCUGCGGCUGUGGUGUAGGCUGGCAGCUGCAGCUCCGCUUCAACCCCUAGCCUGGGAACCUCCAUAUGCCGUGAGCGAGGCCCUACAAAAAAAUAAAAAUAAAAAAAUAAAAUUAAGAAUUCAGUUCCGCAUUUGCACUAGUCACAUUUCAAAUGUCCACUAGCCAGACAUGGUUAAUAGCACAGAGACAGAAUAUUUCUAUUAUCAUAGAUAGUUCUAUGGGACAGUGCUGUCCACACUGGCUAUACAGCUGGGCUAACUUCUGGGUCCCUGGCCCAGGCAGGCCUCUUGAUCACUGCCACACAGGUUCCUGACACAGAGUAGUUGUUAAGCAACUGAGCUGAAUGAAUGAAUGAAUAAAUGAAUGAAAAUAGAAGCAGACGGUGAGACCCGGGUUUGAGUCCCCAGCCUGGCCCUCACCAGCUGCAGGGCCUCCAGCAAACCUCCCCUCUGGGCCUCAGUGUGGUCUGUACAAACGAGGGCAAGGCCAUCUCUCCCUCCCUCUCAGGACUGGGCACAUAAACUGAUGUUCUCAGGGUGCUCAGAGGACCAGGAGCCAAGAGAAGGCCUGCGGGGGAACUGAUGUGCCAGCAGUCCCACCCUGAAUUCUAGAACAAGUGGGAGGGCUGGGAGUGGUGGGAGGGGCCCUUGGGGGCAUUUCUGUUUGCUGGAGUUGAAAAUGCUGGGGGGGCCCAGGGGCAGUGGUAAAGAGAAAACAGGCUGGGCC
rnacentral:lncRNA from 1 species